GCAGAGAGGCGUCUACGCAGGUCCGGAAGUCGGCAGCCUGCCGGGAAGGGGGCGGCCCCGCCUCCGGCUCUCCGGCCGGCAGGUUGGCUGUCCUGGCCUGACCCUGGGAGACUCCGCUGGGGCCGCCUGUUAUGGUGCUAGCUGCCGUCCCGGUGCGUACUUUCCCAAGGUGAAUUUGACCUUCUUUGCGACAGCUAGGCCCUGACUAAGGUCGACCCACCAAACACUGGAUCGUCCCCAGGCGAAAGAGAGCUUGUUCCCCUCAGCCUGUCGCGGAGGAGCGGAGCCAAUCGAGGGUCUGGUGUCCCCGUCGCCUCUCCAGGGGCAACCUGCGGACUAGGCCAAGGUCUGUAACAGGAUAACGUACCAGCGCCUGGCCCAGGCGUUCCUGCCGCCACCUCCCCGCAUAUCCGGACCGCCGGGACUGCACGCAGCUGGCAAGCGUCCCCCUGUUAACUCUGCAAGGGUGGGGCGGCACCAUUUCUCAGACCAGGGCAGACCAGAACAGUGGGUGAUUUUCCUCCUGCCAUUUUCUUGGGACAGUGAAAAGUGGAGAAGAGAAUGUUUAAAUUGUUGCCUGCUGGGGACACAUCGCACUCCUCAAUUUGGGUGGUGCCAACCGCUGUUGGAAUUAGUUAUCUAGCUGAAAUUUUGUCUUUCAAAGGACUAGUGCAUCACUCUGCUGCAAAGCUUGGAAAAGCUCUGAUAGCCUCAAGUCUCUGCUCUGCUUUUGUGGUGGAGCCUUGGACAGACGUGGAAUUAAGGAUCCCGUCCAGGAUCCCACAUUCCAUGUAGUCACUGCCUCCUUAGGCUCCUCCUGGCUGUGACAGUUUCUCAGAUUUCCCUUGUUUCUAAUGAUUGUGGCAGUUUUGAAGAGCACCGGUCAGGUUGAUUUUAGUGCAUUUGAGCUACAAUCAUAUUUUAUUAUCUGGAAAAUGCCUCGAAGACAUCUGUGGAUCUACAAACUUCCAGGGCUACUCUCUGCAUACAAAGGAGGCAUGAACAGGCCUUUCUACUCAGAAGUGGACUAAGACAUAGCUGGCAGCCUGAUGGCGGUGCUGUGGAAGCAGGCCCUUCACUGGGGUACUGGCAGACUGGUUGAAGAGUCUACCUACAGGGGAGUGUCGAGUCCGGCUCUCCCUAUGGGCAACAGGCAAGCCACACAGAGGACCAACUCUUGAACAAACGUUGGUAACAUUUGUGGUACUGAGGGUUGAAAGCUAGGGGGAUUCUUAAAACUAUUAGGAGAUUCUCUCUUGCUAGUGAAACAGAUGGGAAGCAGAGGAACUACUGCACUUUGGACAUUGACUUCAGUUUUAAUCACAGACUGUUAAGGCUAGGACAUAUUUUUCUUUAACUUUUAGACUCGGGGUGCAUGCGCAGGUUUGUUAUAUAGGAAAACUUGUGUCACGGGGUUUUGUUGUACAGAUUAUUUCAUCACCCAGGUACUAAGCCUAGUGCUCAAUAGUUAUUUUUUCUGCUCCUCUCCCUCUUCCCACCCUCCCACCUCAAGAAGGCCCCAGUGUCUGUUGUUUGCCUCUUUGUGUCCAUGUGUUCUCAUUAUUUAGCUCAGACUUAUAAGUGAGAACAUGGGGUAUUAAUUUUCUGUUCCUGUGUUAGUUUGCUGAGGAUAAUGGCCUCCAGCUCCAUCCGUCUUCUGGCAAAAGACAAGAUCUUGUUCUUUUUUAUGGCUGCAUAGUACUCCAUGGUGUAUAUGCACCCUAUUUUCUUUAUUCAAUGUUUCAUUGAUGGGCAUUUAGGUUGAUUCCAUGUCUUUCCUAUUGUGAAGAGUACUGCCAUGAACAUUCAUGUGCAUGUGUCUUUAUGGUAGAAUGAUUUAUAUUCCUCUAGGUAUAUGCCCAGUAAUGGGAUUGCUGGGUUGAAUGGCACUUCUCUUUUAGCUUUUUGAGGAAUUGCCACACUGCUUUCCACAAUGCAAUGGUUGAACUAAUUUACACUCCCACCAACAGUGUAUAAAUGUUCCCUUUUCUCUGCAACCUUGCCAGCAUCUGUUGUUUUUUGACUUUUUUAUAGUAGUCAUUCUGACUCAUGUGAAAUGGUAUCUCAUUGCGGUUUUGAUAUGCAUUUCUCUAAUGAUCAGUGAUGUUGAGCUUUCUUUCAUAUGUUUGUUGGCUGCAUGAAUGUCUUCUUUUGAGAAGUGUUUUGUUCAUGUCCUUUACCCACUUUUUAAUGGGGUUGUUUUUUUCUUGUAAAUUUAAGUUCCUUGUCGACUCUGGAUGUUAGACCUUUGUCAGAUGGAUAGCUUGCAAAAUUUUUCUCCCAUUCUGUAGAUUGUCUGUUCACUCUGAUGAUAGUUUGUUUUGCUGCGCAGAAGCUCUUUAGUUUAAUUAGAUUCUAUUUGUCAAUUUUUGCUUUUGUUGCAAUUGCUUUUGGUGUUUUCGUCAUGAAAUCUUUGCCUGUGCUUACGUCCUGAAUAGUAUUGCCUAGAUUUUAAGAAAUAUUUAACUCAAAGCAACAAUAUUAACAGUUCAUUUCUCAUCUGAAACAAUAGAAGAAAAAAGACAAUAGAUCAACCUAUGUUUUUGAGAUGGAGUCUUGCUCUGUCGCCCAGGAUGGAGUUGCAAUGACACGAUCUCAGCUCACUGCAACCUCUGCCUCCUGGGUUCAAGCGAUUCUCCUGCCUCAGCCUCCCGAGUAGUUGGGAUUACAGGUGCAUAUCACCAUGCCCAGCUAAUUUUUGUAUUUUUGUAGAGAUGGGGUUUCACCAUGUUGGCCAGGUUAGUCUCGAACUCCUGGCCUCAAGUGAUCCACCCACCUGGGCCUCCCAAAGUGCUGGGAUUAGAGGUGUGAGCCACCUCUAAUCCCAGCCACAGACUGAACUCUGAGCUUUUUUUCUUUUUUCUUUUUUUUUUUUUUUGAGAGGGAGUCUUGCUCUGAUGCCCAGGAUGGAGUGCGGUGGUGCCAUCUUAGCUCACUGCAAACUCCACCUCCCAGGUUCAAGCAAUUCUCCUGUCUCAGCCUCCUGAAUAGCUGGGAUUACAAGAGUCUGCCACCAUGCCCAGCUAAUUUUUGUAUUUUUAGUAGAGAUGGGGUUUCACUAUGUUGGUCAGGCUGGUCUUGAACUCCUGACCUUAAGCAAUCCACUGGCCUCGGCCUCCCAAAGUGCUGGGAUUACAGGCAUGUGCCAGCACACCCGGCCAGCUUUUUUCAUAUGCUUGUUGGCCAUGUGUAUGUCUUCUUUAGAAAAGUGUCUGUUCAUGUUCUUUACACACUUUUUAAUGUGGUCGUUUUUUUCUUUUUAAAGACCCUGGAUAUUAGGCCUUUGUCAGAUGCAUAGUUGCAAAUAUUUUCUCCUAUUCUUUAUGUUGUCUGUUUAUUCUGUUGAUAAUUCUUUUGCCGUACAGAGCCUCUUAAGUUUAAUUAGAUCCCAUUGGACAUUUUGGUUAGCAAGAAAGGACAAUGCCUAGAGCAAUAAUCACAAUGUAGGACGUCUUUAAGGAACAAAGGUAAAAGUUUCUGGAGAUUGAAUGACCAAUUCCACUAAACUGUCGCAGCUUGAAAAUUACCAGAAUGCUCUGUCCAUCAAGUUUAGAGAAAUGCUUCAAGUUUAGGGGAAUGAUUUCUAUUGUCUAUGAAUACAGCUGAAAAAAAACAAACCCCGUCAAAAUAUCUCUCUCUUUUGGGAUGGCAGUGUUCACAAGCCCCUGUUGCCCAGCUACACAAAAUAGCCAGACAUCAUGCACCUGGUCCCACAAUGUUGAGAUAUGUAGUGAUUUAUGAUCAUAAUAAAUUAGUGUUUCCCAAAACUUACUCUGUGGAACCUUGAGUCAAAUAACUUUGGGAACUUUGCCAACUGUAUCUUCUUAAUUAUUGUGAAAGUUGUCAGAAUCAAAAUGGAGUCAUGAAUGUUAAGAAAACCCUGACAAAUGGAGCCAACAAAAACCAUAAAGAAGGGGUUCUGACACUUGUGUGCUCGAUAAUGAAAAAGACUAUACAAAAACCACAACCUGGCACACAACCCAUUGCAACUGUACAAAAAAUAUAUACAAGAAUAUCUGCCCAGCAACUGCCUGUCCAAACUUGUACUGGUGUCACCCUUGUCAUUGAUCUUUGUAACCAAAGAUAAGUAUUUCAAAAACAAUUAUGUAGUCCUCAUUUUUUUCUUUAGAAAUCUUUGCCUUCUUUUACCUCCCUGACACAUAUAUUAAUAGUUUGCUAUGGCAUGUAUAUGCCCAUUGCAAUGUUCUAUUCCCUAAUAAACAUCUUCUUCUAGAGAGCCUCUCUCUGUUAUUUAGGUUGAAAAUAUUCUUAAGACAUGUGAGCCUAUUUCAUAGCUCUGAGAAGUUAGAUGAUAAUGUGCCUUUACGUCUUGUUUAGUCAAUAAUUUGCCCAAAUUAUUUGGUCUUGAA
rnacentral:lncRNA from 10 species